rnacentral:rRNA from 1 species
GUGGGGAAUAUUGGACAAUGUGCGAAAGCCUGAUCCAGCCAUGCCGCGUGUGUGAAGAAGGUCUUCGGAUUGUAAAGCACUUUAAGUUGGGAGGAAGGGCAGUAAGUUAAUACCUUGCUGUUUUGACGUUACCGACAGAAUAAGCACCGGCUAACUUCGUGCCAGCAGCCGCGGUAAUACGAAGGGUGCAAGCGUUACUCGGAAUUACUGGGCGUAAAGCGCGCGUAGGUGGUUUUGUAAGUUGGAGGUGAAAUCCCCGGGCUCAACCUGGGAACUGCCUCCAAAACUGCAUGACUAGAGUACGGUAGAGGGUAGUGGAAUUUCCUGUGUAGCGGUGAAAUGCGUAGAUAUAGGAAGGAACACCAGUGGCGAAGGCGACUACCUGGACUGAUACUGACACUGAGGUGCGAAAGCGUGGGGAGCAAACAGGAUUAGAAACCCGUGUAGUCC